UACGAAGGGGGCUAGCGUUGCUCGGAAUCACUGGGCGUAAAGGGUGCGUCGGCGGGUCUUUAAGUCAGGGGUGAAAUCCUGGAGCUCAACUCCAGAACUGCCUUUGAUACUGAAGAUCUUGAGUGCGGGAGAGGUGAGUGGAACUGCGAGUGUAGAGGUGAAAUUCGUAGAUAUUCGCAAGAACACCAGUGGCGAAGGCGGCUCACUGGCCCGAUACUGACGCUGAGGCACGAAAGCGUGGGGAGCAAACAGG
rnacentral:rRNA from 1 species